UAUGUCCAUAUCACAUUGAAACACCAGUUUCCGUACAAUCAUCAAAGUUAAGCAAUGUUGAGCCUGGUUAGUAUCUAGGUGGGUGACCACUUGAGAAUACCAGAUGCUGUAAG